rnacentral:rRNA from 1 species
CCUGGCUCAGGAUGAACGCUGGCGGCGUGCCUAACACAUGCAAGUCGAACGAGAGAUCGUUUCGGAAGUUUUCGGAUGGAAGAGACGAUCUCGAGUGGCGGACGGGUGAGUAACACGUGGGUAACCUGCCUUACAGAGGGGGAUAACAGGGAGAAAUCCCUGCUAAUACCGCAUAAGCACACAGCACCGCAUGGUGCAGGGUGAAAAGAUCUAUCGCUGUAAGAUGGACCCGCGUCUGAUUAGCCAGUUGGCAGGGUAACGGCCUACCAAAGCGACGAUCAGUAGCCGACCUGAGAGGGUGAUCGGCCACAUUGGGACUGAGACACGGCCCAAACUCCUACGGGAGGCAGCAGUGGGGGAUAUUGCACAAUGGGGGAAACCCUGAUGCAGCGACGCCGCGUGAGUGAAGAAGUAUCUCGGUAUGUAAAGCUCUAUCAGCAGGGAAGAUAAUGACAGUACCUGACUAAGAAGCCCCGGCUAACUACGUGCC